UCGAGAAUUUUUCUCAAUGGGGGAAACCCUGAAGGAGCGACGCCGCGUGGAGGAUGAAGGUUUUCGGAUUGUAAACUCCUGUCAUUGGUGAACAAAGCUGUCGGUUAACUGCCGAACAGUCUGCUAGUAGCCGAAGAGGAAGGGACGGCUAACUCUGUGCCAGCAGCCGCGGUAAUACAGAGGUCCCGAGCGUUGUUCGGAUUCAUUGGGCGUAAAGGGUGCGUAGGCGGCGGGGCCAGUCUGAUGUGAAAUCCUGGGGCUCAACCCCAGAACUGCAUUGGAUACUGCCUUGCUUGAGUACUGGAGAGGAGACUGGAAUUUACGGUGUAGCAGUGAAAUGCGUAGAGAUCGUAAGGAAGGCCAGUGGCGAAGGCGAGUCUCUGGACAGUUACUGACGCUGAGGCACGAAGGCCAGGGGAGCAAACGG
rnacentral:rRNA from 1 species